UACGUAGGUGGCAAGCGUUGUCCGGAUUUACUGGGCGUAAAGAGUGCGCAGGCGGUCGUACAAGUCGCGUGUGAAAGCCCCCGGCUCAACUGGGGAGGGUCACGCGAUACUGUUCGACUCGAAGGCAGGAGAGGGAAGCGGAAUUCCCGGUGUAGUGGUGAAAUGCGUAGAUAUCGGGAGGAACACCAGUGGCGAAGGCGGCUUCCUGGCCUGUUCUUGACGCUGAGGCGCGAAAAGCUAGGGUAGCAAACGGG
rnacentral:rRNA from 1 species